CUUCGUCGACCUGCUCGGAGGGCUGCUAGCCGCGCAACCGAAUCAACGAUGGAGGAGCUCUUGCUUCCGACAAAGUCGUCGCUGACUCGCUGGUCGUGGAGUACAGAUCCCAGCAACCGCUUUCUCCUCCAGACCGAGCUCUCAUCCUGAGAUUUCCCCCAUGGACUUGGGAGCCCCUGACUUCAUCUUCCAUGUGUACAGACCGAGCUCUCAUCCUGAGAUUUCCCCCAUGGAGUUGGGAGCCCCUGACUUCAUCUUCCAUGUGUACAACAUGCACCGGUGAAAUCUUUCUCACCCCUUUCUUGAUUUUGCCUUGAAGCAUAUUAGAUCAGAUCCUCUUUUCUGAGAAUGAAUGAAACUUUUCCGCUGUAGCUUUAGUUGAAGUACAUGACAAAUGAUGCUUUAAUUGUGGAUCAAUGAUGAUUGAUAUUAUAAUGAAGACACACCUUUUAAAAAUCCAAACUUUGCAUUUUCUGCUUAUUUUCUAUGCAAGAAUAGAUAUUACACUUACUCUUAAUGCUCAUAAGAAAAUAAUCAAUAAUGUUUUCUUAUCUAACUUUUGUUGUUUUGUUCAUAAUAUUUGAUGGUCUUGUGAUAGAAUGGUGCCACACAUGCAUGGCCCGUCUGGUAGCUCGCUGCCUCCAGAUAUGCGUGUGGGCAUGCUGUUGUUCUUCCAUGGAAAUGGACACGUGAGAGCUAUCUUGGCUUUACUGUCUAAACCUAUAAAUUUGUUUCAUUGUUUAGAUUUUUUUUGAAUUCAAAUCAUUGGUUACAUGAUUCCCAUUGCUGAAUUUUCUUGGAAGAAUCAUCUUUGUUUCCAAUAAUUAUUUGUGCAAGAUGCCAUAGGCUCACUCGCGCCUCCCCGCCACCCAUGGAUGGGCGGAUCCGAACUCAGAUGCCCAGUCGGUCAGUGCCACCACCGGUCAGUGCUCCCUGUUUGCCUUGCUGCUGCUGGCAUGUCCACCGGCAGCGAGAGGGGCAAGGCCGGAAGCAAGCACACCAGAGCGGCUGAGCCUCAGGGAGGUGAAGAAGGACAGGUGUUGUACAAGAGGAGGAUGCUGGCAUAAACACGCUGUCGAUGAGCUGGGCUAAUGUUGCCAUGGAUGGCUGGACGCCCGUGGGUAGACCUACCUCCGGACUGCCGUCGCCAUGGACUGUAGAAAAGCAGAAGUUUAUACCCACGCACCGUGGAAGAGAAAUACCGGACAGAGUAAAGGGAUUCAACAUGCACAUCCUGAUAAGUUUUCGUUUCACUUUGAUUGUGCAAAGUCUUUUGGUGUUUAGUUGUGUCAGAUAUAGCUUAUGAGAUAACUCAAUUUUAGAUAGGUUCAUUUCGACAUCACGAUAUAUGUACAUCAUACAUCAGUAGGAUUGUUUCAUUUGAAUUCUUUGCACUGUUCGUAUGCUUCCGUAAUAUAGAACCGAGAGUGUUAGGUUCAGGCGUUCAACGCAAGUUCAGCAGUUCUGUUGGGCAGCUAUGCCAGCACGAGUUUUGCUACAUAAUAAGUAUAUAUACUGAAGCUGGUUUUGCUACAUGCUACAUGUAUCUUAACCACUAGCAAGGUACUCUUUUAAAUCUCACUAUAGAGCGAAUUUUCAUGGAUUCUGUUCUGAGGCAUCUGUUGCAUUUUUGCCUGCAAGAAAGAUGAGUAAAUUGUGGGGUUUUAGGCGUUUUUUGUACCGAAAUUUCAGGUAGUUAAUGUUACUGUAAGGGACGUUACUAACAUCCGUAUUGUAAGAACUACUUCUAUGGUCACUAGGUAGGUGCUCAUUAUUCUGAAGAGGGAAUGCACAGAUGGGACAUUGAUCGCAAUGACUCUGCUCAUGAGGUGUUCAUCUGUGUGUAUUCAGAACCUUGGAAAUAUCAUCUUGACAUUACCAUGUUGGCUUGGUGGUUUGGAUUGGACAGAUUCAUGUGGUUGCAGAUGCUACAUUGGUGCAAAUAGUUCUAACACAAAGCUAAGCUCUACGUUUAUUUAUUUGAGGAAAUGAUUAGCUUAUGACAUAUUUCCUUUACCAGAUUUUACUUUGUUGGGUUGCGUAAAUAGAAAUGACAGUUGCAAGUUCACCCUCAUGAUUGCCAUAUAAGAGAGAAAGAAAGGGUGGGCCAUGGGUUUGCUGUUUCACCUCUUUUAGUUCUUUUCUUUUGUAGCUGGUAGUGUAAUUUGGGUGUUCACGCCACUUACAUUUUGGGAACGUGCAUCUUUGUGUCAUUGACUUAUUUUGAUGUGGCGCAAGAUAUAUAUUUAUUGCGCCGCCUUCAAUAUGCUAGAACCCCUAUUUGCUUUCUGUUUUUUAUAUCUUUGUCAGGUUUAAAAUUAUAAGAAUGACACUGAUGUUAUACUACUUCUCUUUCAGCCCCCUGAAGACACUUCACUCUCGGUAACUAACAUCAUUCGCCAUUAGGAGUCCGAGCAUUAUUGGUCACUUGAGGAAUCAUAAUUGAAUCUGUCCGACGCAGCGUUCAAGGAUCUUCGGAGGAAACUUCCAGUUACUCGCACCCAUUACCCAUGGCAUAACACUCAUGCCAUCAGCCUUACACGGGACCUGGCAAAAGAGCUAGCGCUAGGGAAAUGAAGCUUAUGGGGGCAGGUCACUAGGGUAGCUUGCGUAUGGAAAUUUUAGCUUCAUGCAAUUUGCUGUUCCGUAUACUGUACAAUUCUUAUCUUCUAACCAGCAUUUUUCUUCUUUUUGUCUGUGAUUCCGCACAUCGGUGUAAAUCAAUAGCAUGACCUUUUUUUUUGGGAAGUGGCGGAUAUAUGUGCAUUCAGAUUCUGACUCACGUCACUUGUGAAAUCUUCGUCUAUUUUUAGCUUUUGAAGGAGUUCAUCUGUA